GACGAACGCUGGCGGCGUGCUUAACACAUGCAAGUCGAACGAUGAAGCCUAGCUUGCUAGGUGGAUUAGUGGCGAACGGGUGAGUAAUACGUGAGUGACCUACCUUUGACUCUGGGAUAAGCCUGGGAAACUGGGUCUAAUACCGGAUACGACCAAUCUCCGCAUGGGGUGUUGGUGGAAAGCGUUAUGGAGUGGUUUUAGAUGGGCUCACGGCCUAUCAGCUUGUUGGUGAGGUAAUGGCUUACCAAGGCGACGACGGGUAGCCGGCCUGAGAGGGUGACCGGCCACACUGGGACUGAGACACGGCCCAGACUCCUACGGGGGCAGCAGUGGGGAAUAUUGCACAAUGGGCGCAAGCCUGAUGCAGCGACGCCGCGUGAGGGAUGACGGCCUUCGGGUUGUAAACCUCUGUUAGCAUCGAAGAAGCGAAAGUGACGGUAGGUGCA
rnacentral:rRNA from 1 species